rnacentral:tRNA from 1 species
CUAUGGUCUAGCGGUAGCACGUCAGGUCUUAAAGCGGCAGUCCCGGGUUCGACUCCCGGCUGA